rnacentral:rRNA from 1 species
UACGUAGGUGGCAAGCGUUGUCCGGAUUUACUGGGCGUAAAGAGCGCGCAGGCGGUCGUUCAAGUCGCGUGUGAAAGCCCCCGGCUCAACUGGGGAGGGUCACGCGAUACUGAUCGACUCGAAGGCAGGAGAGGGAAGUGGAAUUCCCGGUGUAGUGGUGAAAUGCGUAGAUAUCGGGAGGAACACCAGUGGCGAAGGCGGCUCACUGGCCCGAUACUGACGCUGAGGCACGAAAGCGUGGGGAGCAAACAGG